rnacentral:rRNA from 1 species
CUUAACCUGGGCGCUGCAUUUGAAACUGGGCAUCUAGAGGGGUGCAGGAGAGGAAAGUGGAAUUCCUAGUGUAGCGGUGAAAUGCGUAGAGAUUAGGAAGAACACCAGUGGCGAAGGCGACUUUCUGGACUGUAACUGACACUGAGAUACGAAAGCGUGGGUAGCAAACAGGAUUAGAUACCCUGGUAGUCCACGCCGUAAACGAUGAAUACUAGGUGUCGGGGGGUACCACCCUCGGUGCCGCAGCAAACGCAUUAAGUAUUCCGCCUGGGGAGUACGGUCGCAAGAUUAAAACUCAAAGGAAUUGACGGGGACCCGCACAAGCAGCGGAGCAUGUGGUUUAAUUCGAAGCAACGCGAAGAACCUUACCUAGACUUGACAUCUCCUGAAUUACUCUUAAUCGAGGAAGUCCCUUCGGGGACAGGAAGACAGGUGGUGCAUGGUUGUCGUCAGCUCGUGUCGUGAGAUGUUGGGUUAAGUCCCGCAACGAGCGCAACCCUUAUUGUUAGUUGCUACUAUUAAGUUAAGCACUCUAACGAGACUGCCGCGGUUAACGUGGAGGAAGGUGGGGAUGACGUCAAAUCAUCAUGCCCCUUAUGUCUAGGGCUACACACGUGCUACAAUGGCUGGUACAACGAGCAGCAAACCCGCGAGGGGGAGCAAAACUUGAAAGCCAGUCCCAGUUCGGAUUGUAGGCUGAAACUCGCCUACAUGAAGUUGGAGUUGCUAGUAAUCGCGAAUCAGCAUGUCGCGGUGAAUACGUUCCCGGGUCUUGUACACACCGCCCGUCACACCAUGAGAGCCGGUAACACCCGAAGCCCGUGAGGUAACCGUAAGGAGCCAGCGGUCGAAGGUGGGAUUGGUGAUUGGGGUGAAGUCGUAACAAGGUAGCCGUAGGAGAACCUGCGGCUGGAUCACCUCCUUUCUAGGGAGA